CCACUCCCCCCAACUGUCUAACGAAAAUAGCCAACAGCUUGUUAACCUUCCCCCGGGACCUAGCAACUGCCACAGGAUUACGAGCAUUACACCAAUGAAAAAAGGGGAUCUAUCUCCAACCAGACAAUCACUAAACCUGGAACCAAGCCCUUCAGCCUAUCCAAAUCCAGCUUCAUACCCUGCACCAACUCCCUCUGGGGCACUUUCCCUAAAUCACUCCCUAAAAAUUUCAAAACAAACCGCCUCCAACUAAAACCUUGAAAACCAAACCAAUACUGUCCAG